GGGCCCGCACAAGCAGCGGAGCAUGUGGUUUAAUUCGAAGCAACGCGAAGAACCUUACCUAGACUUGACAUCAUCCUGCAUACCCAGUAACGUGGGGAAACCUCCUUUUCGGGGGCGGGAUGACAGGUGGUGCAUGGUUGUCGUCAGCUCGUGUCGUGAGAUGUUAGGUUAAGUCCUGCAACGAGCGCAACCCUUAUUGUUAGUUGCUACCAUUAAGUUGAGCACUCUAGCAAGACUGCCGCGGUUAACGCGGAGGAAGGUGGGGAUGACGUCAAAUCAUCAUGCCCCUUAUGUCUAGGGCUACACACGUGCUACAAUGGCGAGUACAGAUAGAUGCGAUACCGUGAGGUGGAGCAAAACUCUAAAACUCGUCCCAGUUCGGAUUGUAGGCUGAAACUCGCCUACAUGAAGCCGGAGUUGCUAGUAAUCGCGAAUCAGCAUGUCGCGGUGAAUACGUUCCCGGGCCUU
rnacentral:rRNA from 1 species